rnacentral:rRNA from 1 species
CAAUAGCGUAUAUUAAAGUUGUUGCAGUUAAAAAGCUCGUAGUUGGAUUUGUGGCGUACGGUGGGUUCCGGGCACUUGUUGUCUGAGUAACUUGCUGUUGCUAUCCUUGGGUGGAACCUGUGUGGCAUUAGGUUGUCGUGCAGGGGAUGCCCAUCAUUUACUGUGAAAAAAUUAGAGUGUUCAAAGCAGGCUUAUGCCGUUGAAUAUAUUAGCAUGGAAUAAUGAGAUAGGACUUUUUUGCUAUUUUGUUGGUUUGCGCAAAGAGGUAAUGAUUAAUAGGGACAGUUGGGGGUAUUCGUAUUCCAUUGUCAGAGGUGAAAUUCUUGGAUUUUUGGAAGACGAACUACUGCGAAAGCAUUUACCAAGGAUGUUUUCAUUAA